UACGUAGGGUGCGAGCGUUGUCCGGAAUUAUUGGGCGUAAAGGGCUCGUAGGCGGUCUGUCGCGUCGGGAGUGAAAACUCAGGGCUUAACCCUGAGCCUGCUUCCGAUACGGGCAGACUAGAGGUAUGCAGGGGAGAACGGAAUUCCUGGUGUAGCGGUGGAAUGCGCAGAUAUCAGGAGGAACACUGGUGGCGAAGGCGGUUCUCUGGGCAUUACCUGACGCUGAGGAGCGAAAGUGUGGGGAGCGAACAGG
rnacentral:rRNA from 1 species